AAUGAGACUCUGUGAACUUACUUAGUUGCAUUUGUUCGCUAAUGUUACAGAGAUAUUUUUUUUGUGGCCAGAAAGCAUAAUUACCUUCCUUGCUUCUGAUUUGGGUGAACUUUGUACACGGUGGCGGUGUCUGCUGAGGGUAAGGCUGGGAGAUGAGGCUUUGGGGUGACAGGUGGCACUGACAGUAGCAGGGGGAGGGAGAUACGGCCAGACAUGCACCAUGGGGUUUGUUCUAAUCUGCCCCCCACUGCGGCAUCACGUCACUCUUCCCACAUCCUACCUCCCUGACACUACUAGGACACUCCUCAGAGACAUGACGCCCUCUGGGCUGUCAUCUGGAGCACCAGGUGUCAGUGACGAACAGCCCACCCCUCCUCUCUCUCUUCAGUGGGAGCUGAUGGUCCUAUAGACUUCUUGCUGAGGUCAACCCGAGUUGUUCGAAUUGUACAAAUUCCCAAAUUUGAAUAGUGUAUAUUUAUUUUUAAAUCAUCAUGAAAUCAGAAUUAAUGCCAUUUGCUUAAUUCACAUUCCUGGCUUAUUGUAAACGAUCAGUGCAUGCUAUUUCAUAGAAAUAAAAUGUAUUACUUAAUAAUUUACUACAAGGUUCAGUUUGUCACCAUUAUUUAAUGCAUUUGGUAAUGAACUACGACAGUUCUACAGCAUUUAGUAAUCUAGUUUAAUGUUGAUUCAAGAAUAUAUGAUUUUGUUUUUUGUGAUUUAAUGUUUGUGUACGUUAAAGAUGCAUCAGUAUAUGUAGAAAUGUAUAUUAGCCUAGAUUAAAAAAUGCUGUAGAAGUAUUAAGAUUGUUAGUGCAUAUCCAGUUGCAUAAUUUUUCAUGUUAAUUUACUAAACCUCAUUGCUAAUAUUGUCCGGUUUGUCUUUAUAUUCUUAAUUAUCUCUUUUACAUAGUCUAGUGGAUAAUGUUAACCAACUACCAAAUACACUACCAUUCAGAAGUUUGGGGUCUGUGACAUUUUUCAUAUUUAAAAAAUAAAAUAAAAGCUUUUUAUGCACAAAUGUAAGGCUGCAGUUAUUUGAUCAAAACUACAUAAAAAUCACAAUAUUGCAAAAAUGAUGGCAAAGCUGAAUUUUCAUCAUGCAUGACUCCAGUUUUCCUUGUCACAUAGUCCUUUAAACAUCAUUCUAAUUAUGCUGAUUUGCUGCUUAAGAAACAUUUAUUAUUAUUCAUGUUUAAGUUGUGCUACAUAAUAUUUGUGUAUUGUAUUGUACAUGAUUUAACAUAAUAAUAAUAAUAAUAAUUUUAUGAAUGAAUAGAAAAUUCAGAAGAAUAGCAUUUAUUUGAAAUAAAAAUAUUUUGUGAGAUUAAAAUAAUAAAUAAAUGUCUUUACGGUCACUUUUACAUCUAGGAAAAAAAUAACUUACCUUAACUUACCCCAAACUUUUAAAUGGUAGUGUAUCACAGUUUCAUUACAUCUACAUUCUAAAAUAUAUUCUAACAGAAAACAGUCCUUUUAAAUUGUAACAAUAUUUCACAAUAUUACUGUUGUUACUGCAUUUUGAUUCAAUAAAUACAGGUUUGGUGAGCACAAGAGACUUCUUUCAAAAACAUGAAGAUAGAUAGUGUAAUUAAUAAAAGCUUCCCACAAACAAAACAAACCUGGUGCAAAUAAAAAGGUCAAAUAUUGUACAUCCUGAAAUAUAUCAGUAGUUUCAAUUUAAUUAGAGUUUGACAUGAAUUGAUCUGUUGUGACUCUUGCUUGUCUAUCAGAUCGUAGACAGUGUAUGCUUGUACUGUCUGGCUGGAAGAAAAAAAUACAAUUACAACCUGUUCAGUUGUGUCUCCAGCUAUUAUAUAUAGUUUUUUCUUUUCACACUCCUCAUGUUUAGUCUUUUUUGUGCCUAAUGUAUUAGGUUCUUUAUAGUUAAAAAAGAUGACAAAUGAUUAAAUUAGUUUGAAGGUACUCAUGUUUCAUUUCAACAGACAUCUGCUAUAUUCACAGAGAUUUUAGAUUUGUCCAUUUGAUGUCUUCCACAUAAAUAAAACCUUUACAUCAAUUUA